rnacentral:tRNA from 1 species
CGGUGAGACUGGAGCAGCUGACUCUUAAUCAGCGGGUCACAGGUUCGAUCCCUGUCGCACCCACCA